rnacentral:lncRNA from 1 species
AGGAAUUUUUUCCGCUGAUGUGGACGCCCUAUGGAGCCUCAAAAGCUCGAGUGCUUUGAAAUUUUCCUUAAUAGUGUGAGGUUGAUGUGGAUGGAAUAAUAAAUUUUAUAGGGACUUUCUUGAUGUAACACUAUACAUUUUUUUUUGUUUAAUGUGGUAUUUCUAUUUUUUAUAUAAUUUACUACCAUUUUAAGAUAGAAGUACAUUUUAAGAUAGAUGCUUAAAUCUUAAUAUACUUUUUUUCAUUUUUUAAAAUGUUUAUUUCUAUUUCUUAUAUUUUUAUUUACGUAAUAUCUAUAUUUUAUAUUUUAAAAUAGAUAUUUAAAUAUUAAUGUACUUUUUUCCAUUUUUUAAAUUGUGUAUUUACUUAUAUUAUAUAUUUUACAUUUUAAGAUAGAUGCUUAAUGCUUGAUGAACUUUUUCCAUUUUUUAAAAAAUUGUGUAUUUACUUAUUAUUACAUAUAUAAUUCAUAUAUUAUAUAUUUACAUUAUUUACUUAUUAUUUAUUUUCGUGUAUAUGUAUUUCCAUU